ensembl:lncRNA
GUACGGGAAACAUCAGACCUCACUAGGGCGGGCAUAUUUCCAGGCAUUUGAGAGAUCACUUUCCGAGUUAGAGCACGAAGGCGGGUAGACAGGGCUUGGGGGUCGCUGCCUGAGGUUCUUUGGGCGGGGGGGCGGGGGGGGGCGGGGCAAAUCCCUUGCUUAUGGAGUUCUGGACGUUCCAAUCGGUUUGCGAUGGCCCCUUGCUCACUGAGGUCUUUCACUGGAGACAAGGAGCCUUUGCCAAAGCGCUACACGGAUUACGCAAGCUACCGGAGGCCCAAGCGUUCAUGCCUCCCCAUUUCACAGAUGAAGAAGUGGAGGCCCACACAAGAGAGAGGCCAGCCUAAGAUUUGCUGGGCUAGAGUCCGAUUCUACACACUCCCCCUGGAAGAAGCCCACUACAGGGUCAUCCUCGGAGGAGAGCAGAAGAAAUGGAGACAUUGUUCCUCUCUCUCAGCCCCACAGCCUCGGAGAAGAGAGGGCCAUGGAGACCCAGUGGUUCCUGGUCACAGCAGGCGUGAGGGUUGCUAAAGGGGAAAGAGAGUUGUGAGCCUGCUCCUGUGAUGGAGAAAGAGUUGGGGAGGUUGUCCCCUGCCCAAGGUCAUGCAGAACUAAGUGACCCAGUCAGCAUUUGACCCCAGGUGAAUCUGACUCCAAACCCCAAACGGAUUUCUCUUUAUCAUCCUCCUGAUCACAUUUCUCCUGACAUGACUGGACAGCAGCCUGAGAGACUCAGCAUCGCACUGCUCUCUUCCCGGCCCGCUUUAGCAAUAUCUUGACUUUGUGGCAUUUCCCAGAGUUCCUAAAACAGGAGCCUGUUUAUUCGCUAGGAGAAAAAAGAAGAAAAAGACCGAGGUGUAUUCAGAAAAACAUAUACUCAUAGUUUGAAUUUCUCCUCCUCCCAAUAAUAGCCGGCAGUGUUUACCAAGCACUUAGUACUCACCAGACUCUGUCCAAAGCACUGGCGUGUACUCAUUUAUUCAGUCCUCACCACCCUGUUUGGUCAAUGCUAUUUUAUCUUCAUUUCACUGAAGGGCAAUCUGAUUCUCAGAUGUGGAAAAUCUGGAUAAAUAUAAUUUCUGUUUUGAACUCUGCCUGUGCAUUCUCUCCCUCCCCAUCCUCUACCCACCUUUCAACAUUAGAAAAUAAAACUCACCAUCAUUUAAACAGAAAAAUGAAUUUUAUUAGAGCCACAAACUAAAUACAGUUAGGCCUUCCUCAUAACACUAAUAUUGUUCGUAACUUAAAGUGUUUAUGUGUAUGGUAGCGGUGGUGGUUUAGUUGCUAGGUUGUGACCGACUCUUGUGACCCCAUGGACUCCAGACUGCUGGGCUCCUCUGUCCAUGGAACUUCCCAGGCAGCUGUGUGCUGAGUUAGUGCCACGUCGGGGAAACAGACAUCAUCCAGAUGGGUUUCUGCCCUCAAGAGUCUCCCACUCCAGUGGCAAGACCACCUCAUCAGCUACUCUAUGUGUUUGUCAAAAGGACUAUCCCAAAGUCAGAUUCAUCUUGUAGAAUUCUUUCAUGCGCAUAGUGUCGUCCUGAAGACAGUUUAUUAAACAUCUGAAUGUGUUUCCAUGUUUAAAAAUCAACGAAUUUUCCCUAGAAACCUGGCAUUCUGGCUUCUCUGUAUCAUCUGCAGACAGUCUUUGAAAGGGCAACAACAACAACAAAUCAAGAAUUUACUGUUGGAAACUAUGAGGUUUCGCCCCCAUGGGUUUUCCUCUUUAGUUUGGUUUAUUCUGUACUAAUUUUGUUCUCCUCUAACCAGAUACUUGGGGGCAAAGUUAUAAAGGCUAUAACCU